UGACUGUACCUGGUAAAGAAACCCCGGCUAACUCCAUGCCAGCCCCCGCGGUAAUACGGAGGGGGUUAGCGUUGUUCGGAAUUACUGAGCGUAAAGCGCGCGUAUGCGGACUGGAAAGUUGGGGGUGAAAUCCCAGGGCUCAGCCCUGGAACUGCCUCCUAAACUAUCAAUCUAGAGUUCAAGAGAGGUGACUGGAAUUCCGAGUGUAUAGGUGAAAUUCGUAGAUGUUCGGAGGAACACCAGUGGCUAAGGCGGCUCACUGGCUCGAUACUGACGCUGACGUGCGAAAGUGUGGGGAGCAAACAGGAUUAGAUACCCUGGUAGUCCACACCGUAAACGAUGAAUGCCAGUCGUCGGGUAUCAUGCUAUUCUGUGACACACCUAACGGAUUAAGCAUUCCGCCUGGGGAGUACGGUCGCAAGAUUAAAACUCAAG
rnacentral:rRNA from 1 species